rnacentral:tRNA from 1 species
GUUAAUGUAGCUUAAUAUAAAAGCAUAGCACUGAAAAUGCUAAGAUAGAUUUUAAAACAUCUCAUGAACA